rnacentral:rRNA from 1 species
AUUGAACGCUGGCGGCAUGCUUUACACAUGCAAGUCGAACGGCAGCGCGGGCUUCGGCCUGGCGGCGAGUGGCGAACGGGUGAGUAAUGCAUCGGAACGUGCCCAGUAGUGGGGGAUAGCCCGGCGAAAGCCGGAUUAAUACCGCAUACGACCUGCGGGUGAAAGCGGGGGACCGAAAGGCCUCGCGCUAUUGGAGCGGCCGAUGUCGGAUUAGCUAGUUGGUUGGGUAAAGGCUUACCAAGGCGACGAUCCGUAGCUGGUCUGAGAGGACGACCAGCCACACUGGGACUGAGACACGGCCCAGACUCCUACGGGAGGCAGCAGUGGGGAAUUUUGGACAAUGGGGGCAAACCUGAUCCAGCCAUGCCGCGUGCGGGAAGAAGGCCUUCGGGUUGUAAACCGCUUUUGUUCGGGAAGAAAUCCUCUGGGCUAAUACCCCGGGGGGAUGACGGUACCGGAAGAAUAAGCACCGGCUAACUACGUG